rnacentral:rRNA from 1 species
AUGCUGGCGGAGGAGCGGGAGGUGAUGAGGCCGUGGAUGCUGAUCACGUCCGCGCUGCCCCACGGCAUGCUGCUGGAGGUCUUCAGGCGGCUGCCGGUGCGCGGCGGUGUGCCGCCGCUGGCGCCGUGUCGUGUCCCGUGCGCCUGGCCUCCCCGCCCCGCCACUUCGGCUUCUUCCGCAACCACGGCCCGUACGUGCUGUCACCGUUCGUCCUCACCGCGGGCGUCGCGCUCGCGCCCCAUCAACGGCGUCGGGUGCGCGUCCACUGGCGACACAGGAGGAGGAGGAGGAGGAGGGGGAGGAAGAGGUGCCGGUCGCUUCGCCGCUGAUACUGCUGCGGAGGUCGCUGCUGCUGUGUAG